AAAUUAUACAAUGGAGAGUUUGAUCCUGGCUCAGGAUGAACGCUAGCGGCAGGCUUAACACAUGCAAGUCGAGGGGCAGCAUAAUGG
rnacentral:rRNA from 1 species